AUCCAAGCUAUGGAGACAUUGAAGAAUGGGUCCCAGAAAAGAAAAAAGCAAUCAAAGACCACUAAAAGCAUUAUGGUCAUAUAAGCAAAUAGAAUGAAAUCAUCAAGCUUUGAAGAAAUUGAAGAGCAGCUGUCAUAAAAAAAACAAUCAAUCAAAGACCACUAAAAGCAAUAGGGUCAUACAACGAAAUAGAAAACAUUGAUGGAUUCCAGCUUGAACAUCAGUUGUUUGGAUAGAUGCAAACAGAGUAAAGGAAGAUUGUGCAAAUAGAACACAUUGAUGGAUUCCAGCUUGAAGAGCAGUUGUUUGGAUAGCUGCAAACGGAGUAAAGGAAGAUU